rnacentral:rRNA from 1 species
UGGUGGAGUGAUUUGUCUGGUUAAUUCCGUUAACGAACGAGACCUCAGCCUGCUAACUAGUUGGAUAAACCUUCGGGUUUUUACAACUUCUUAGAGGGACUAUCGGUUCUGAGCCGAGGGAAGUUUGAGGCAAUAACA